rnacentral:tRNA from 1 species
CGCGGGGUAGAGAAGUGGUAACUCGCCAGGCUCAUAACCUGGAGAUCGGGGGUUCGAGUCCCCCUCCCGCCA